rnacentral:rRNA from 1 species
AUGGCUACUGAACGACACAGACAUAAUUCUAUUGCCUCUCUUUCCCUCCUAGAUGGUUCUCUUAUUGAUGAUCAUGAAUCUAAGGCUCAAGUUCUAUUCCAAGCAUUUAGAGCAAGACUCGGGGUAUCUGUUGACCAUGAAAUGAAAUUCAAUUUGGACAGUCUUGUCCAAUCUGUAAGCAAUCUUGGGGGUCUAUCUGAACCGUUCACCAAAAAAGAGAUUGAUGACGUGGUUGCUAAAAUGCUGAUUGAUAGGGCUCCGGGUCCAGACGGAUUCAAUGGCUGUUUCUUAGAAACAUGUUGGGAUCUAAUUGCGCCAGAUUUAUAUAAACUUUGUAAUAGUUUCUGGGCGGGCUCUAUCUCUCUGGAUUGUUUGAAUGCCUUGUUGAUCACACUUAUUCCAAAGAAGCUGAACCCCACUUCAGUAAAUGAUUAUCGUCCCAUAUCCCUGCUAAACUGUUGCCUGAAACUUAUUACAAAACAUCUUGUUGACCGUCUGCAAAAAGUUAUUAUGUCUUUGUUACAUACAAACCAAUAUGGAAUUAUUAAAGGGCGUACAAUUAACGACUGUCUCGCAUGGGCCUUGGAGUACAUUUUUCAGUGUGAGAAAUCUGGUAAUGAAGUGAUAAUUCUCAAGUUAGAUUUUGAAAAAGCGUUUGAUUUGAUUGAACAUGAUGUCAGCCUACUGAUGUUGGAAAAGCUGGGAUUUGACUUAAAAUGGAGGCACUGGAUAAAUUCUAUUCUUACUUCUGGACAUUCUUCGGUUCUCUUAAAUGGUACCCCUGGAAAGAGUUUUCAUUACAAGCGUGGUGUACGUCAAGGGGACCCUCUGUCGCCGCUUUUAUUCACCCUAGCUGUGGAUUUGCUGUAG